GGGCGUGUCUGUGUUUGAUUGACAGCAGGUGGCAGGCUGGGUGCCAGUGUUACACCGUAGGGAAUGAGAGACAAAGUAAACAAACUUGCACUGUCAUGGGCAGACAGUACGCUGUUAGUGGUAAGGACCACACCAACUUCUAACCGGACCCAUGUGACAUUUGCAGAAUCUAUCAGUGUGGCGGACGGCCGUGGCCGGCCUGCUCACCAGCAGACACCCACCUGAACUCUCUCGUCCUGGAUUUGCCAUGUAAUCAGCUCAGAGCAGAAACACGCAGCAGACCCGAAGUUUAGCGCCAAUGGCUGUUGCACAAAGCCUGCCAGCUAACCUCACAUGCUAACAGGAGCACAAAGCAAGUUAACGAAGCAAGUAAACUAUGUAAGGACAACCACAGACGGAGCAACCGGCUUCCUCCGAUCUCUACAAGUGGACACAACAGACGCUUCCACAGCAGAACCACAACGGAACCACAAUUCUUCCCAGCUUGGCUCGUCGCACAACAGACUGACCGCCGGCUAACAGCAGCACCAAAGCCACCUCUCUUUCCCUCCUGAGAGAC